GGACAGGAAGCCAGUAAAGAGAUGCCAAAAUGGGUGUAAUGUGUCAAAGUUUCUGCUUCCUGUGAAAAGCCUGGCAGCAGCAUUUUGAACCAAUUAGACACCCCUAAUGCUGGACUGUGGUAAACCAGAAAAUAGAACAUUGCAGUAGUCCAAUCUAGAAAA